UAGGGAAUCUUCCACAAUGGACGCAAGUCUGAUGGAGCAACGCCGCGUGAGUGAAGAAGGUUUUCGGAUCGUAAAGCUCUGUUGUUGGUGAAGAAGGAUAGAGGCAGUAACUGGUCUUUAUUUGACGGUAAUCAACCAGAAAGUCACGGCUAACUACGUGCCAGCAGCCGCGGUAAUACGUAGGUGGCAAGCGUUGUCCGGAUUUAUUGGGCGUAAAGCGAGCGCAGGCGGAAUGAUAAGUCUGAUGUGAAAGCCCACGGCUCAACCGUGGAACUGCAUCGGAAACUGUCAUUCUUUAGUGCAGAAGAGAGGAGUGGAAUUCCAUGUGUAGCGGUGGAAUGCGUAGAUAUAUGGAAGAGCACCAGUGGCGAAGGCGGAUCUCUGGUCUGCGACUGACGCUGAGGCUCGAAAGCGUGGGUAGCGAACAGG
rnacentral:rRNA from 1 species